UUAACACAUGCAAGUCGAACGGUGAAGCCCAGCUUGCUGGGUGGAUCAGUGGCGAACGGGUGAGUAACACGUGAGCAACCUGCCCUCCACUUCGGGAUAAGCCUUGGAAACGGGGUCUAAUACCGGAUAUGAGCUCGCAUCGCAUGGUGUGGGUUGGAAAGUUUUUCGGUGGGGGAUGGGCUCGCGGCCUAUCAGCUUGUUGGUGGGGUGAUGGCCUACCAAGGCGUCGACGGGUAGCCGGCCUGAGAGGGCGACCGGCCACACUGGGACUGAGACACGGCCCAGACUCCUACGGGAGGCAGCAGUGGGGAAUAUUGCACAAUGGGCGCAAGCCUGAUGCAGCGACGCCGCGUGAGGGAUGACGGCCUUCGGGUUGUAAACCUCUUUCAGCAGGGAAGAAGGCUUCGGUUGACGGUACCUGCAGAAGAAGCGCCGGCUAACUACGUGCCAGCAGCCGCGGUAAUACGUAGGGCGCAAGCGUUGUCCGGAAUUAUUGGGCGUAAAGAGCUCGUAGGCGGUCUGUCGCGUCUGGUGUGAAAUCCCGAGGCUCAACCUCGGGCUUGCAUCGGGUACGGGCAGACUAGAGUGCGGUAGGGGAGACUGGAAUUCCUGGUGUAGCGGUGGAAUGCGCAGAUAUCAGGAGGAACACCGAUGGCGAAGGCAGGUCUCUGGGCCGCAACUGACGCUGAGGAGCGAAAGCAUGGGGAGCGAACAGGAUUAGAUACCCUGGUAGUCCAUGCCGUAAACGUUGGGCACUAGGUGUGGGGCUCAUUCCACGAGUUCCGCGCCGCAGCUAACGCAUUAAGUGCCCCGCCUGGGGAGUACGGCCGCAAGGCUAAAACUCAAAGGAAUUGACGGGGGCCCGCACAAGCGGCGGAGCAUGCGGAUUAAUUCGAUGCAACGCGAAGAACCUUACCAAGGCUUGACAUGCACCGGACGCUUCCAGAGAUGGUUGUUCCGCAAGGUCGGUGCACAGGUGGUGCAUGGUUGUCGUCAGCUCGUGUCGUGAGAUGUUGGGUUA
rnacentral:rRNA from 1 species